CGACUGCACACCAUUGCAACCCGCUAGUUCGUGACAGAAAGCGCGGGGAAGGCAAGAGGGAGAUGAACGAGACUUCACUGUCCUCCAGGACUUACUGCAAAUUCUGAAGAGCAUAAAUCACUCAUAGUAGAACUCAUCUAAAAGGUUCUUUUGGAGAACAGAGCUAAAUCAGGAAUUAAAGGAAAAUCUAAUUCCAUCACUGAUAGCAAUAUAACAGUGAGGCUAAAGUGCACGAGAAAUUUAAAUUACUCUGAAGGAGUAGGUUCGAUAUACAGGCCGUCCCUGAAAACUGCUAUUGCAAGAUGCAAACAGAGGUCACAAAGAAGUCAUGGUAGCCCAUGUCAUUCCUAAGACCUGUGAGAAGAACUUGCUGCCACUGCAAGGAGUCAAAA